rnacentral:rRNA from 1 species
UACGUAGGGUGCUAGCGUUGUUCGGAAUCAUUGGGCGUAAAGCGCGUGUAGGCGGUUAGUUAAGUCAGAUGUGAAAUCCCUGGGCUCAACCUAGGAAGUGCAUUUGAAACUAAUUAGCUAGAGAGUGGUAGAGGAAGGUGGAAUUCCGUGUGUAGAGGUGAAAUUCGUAGAUAUACGGAGGAAUACCGGUGGCGAAGGCGGCCUUCUGGACCAUUUCUGACGCUGAGACGCGAAAACGUGGGGAGCAAACAGG